UACGUAGGGAGCAAGCGUUGUCCGGAAUCAUUGGGCGUAAAGCGCGCGUAGGUGGCCUCAUAAGUCCGCUGUGAAAGUCAAAGGCUCAACCUUUGAAAGCCGGUGGAUACUGUGAGGCUAGAGUACGGAAGAGGCGAGUGGAAUUCCUGGUGUAGCGGUGGAAUGCGCAGAUAUCAGGAGGAACACCAAUAGCGAAGGCAGCUCGCUGGGACGUUACUGACACUGAGGAGCGAAAGCGUGGGGAGCGAACAGG
rnacentral:rRNA from 1 species